rnacentral:rRNA from 1 species
CCUACGGGUGGCAGCAGUGGGGAAUAUUGGGCAAUGGGCGCAAGCCUGACCCAGCAACGCCGCGUGAAGGAAGAAGGCUUUCGGGUUGUAAACUUCUUUUAAGCGGGAAGCGAAGAAGACGGUACCUCUUGAAUCAGCCACGGCUAACUACGUGCCAGCAGCCGCGGUAAUACGGAGGUGGCAAGAGUUGUCCGGAUUUACUGGGUGUAAAGGGCGUGCAGCCGGGAAGACAAGUCAGAUGUGAAAUCCAGCGGCUCAACCGCGGAACUGCAGUUGAAACUGUUUUUCUUGAGUACCGGAGAGGUCAUCGGAAUGCCUGGUGUAGCGGUGAAAUGCGUAGAUAUAAGGAAGAACACCAGUGGCGAAGGCGGAUGACUGGACGGCAACUGACGGUGAGGCGCGAAAGCGUGGGUAGCAAACAGGAUUAGAUACCCUUGUAGUC